rnacentral:tRNA from 1 species
GUCAGGAUGGGGCCGAGCGGUCUAAGGGCGCUGCGUUCAGGUCGCAGUCUCCCCUGGAGGCGUGGGUUCCGAAUCCCACAUUCUGACA